rnacentral:rRNA from 1 species
AUUGAACGCUGGCGGCAUGCCUUACACAUGCAAGUCGAACGGUAACAGGCCGCAAGGUGCUGACGAGCGGCGAACGGGGGCGUAAGGCAACCGAACGUGCCCCGUCGCGGGGGAUAACUACUCGAAAGAGUAGCCAAUACCUCAUACGAGCUAAGGUUGAAAGCGGGGGACCGCAAGGCCUCGAGCGAUUGGAGCGGCCGCUGUCAGAUUAGGUAGUGGGUCGGGUAAAGGCUCACCAAGCCAACGAUCCGUAGCGGGACUGAGAGGACGAGCGGCCACACUGGAACUGAGACACGGCCCAGACUCCUACGGGAGGCAGCAGUGGGGAAUUUUGGGCAAUGGGCGCAAGCCUGAUCCAGCAAUGCCGCGUGCAGGAUGAAGGCCUUCGGGUUGUAAACUGCUUUUGUACGGGACGAACCGGCUCUGGUUAAUACCCGGGGCUAAUGACGGUACCGUAAGAAUAAGCCCCGGCUAACUACGUG